UACAAUUAUGCUAAAUAAUGCAGAAAGCAGAACUCGAUAGGACCCACCCACAUCAAUCAUGUGACCGAGUCAAGCCUGCAGGAUAAGACAAGGUCACACUGUGCUUUGAAGGGCGUUGGUGCCGGUGGAAGCAGAGUGAAUGCUCAGCUUAACGUGCCAGUGCAAGAAACACAGCUUUCACCUCCAGGUGAACGGCACAGUUUAUUUCAGAGUGGAGUGAUGCUUAUACGAAAUUCUUUCUACAGCCCAGCAUGGGUUCUGGGUACUGAACUCAGUCCUCUGGAAGAGCACCACUGCACCAUCUCACCUGCCUAUAAGAGAUUCUCUCUACAGCCCAACAUGGGUUUUGGGUCUGAACUCUGUCCUCUGGAAGAGCACCAGAUGUUUUAGGUAUUAUGCUAAGUGCUAUCUAUAUGUUUACUCAUUCAAUCCUUGUACUAAUUUAUAUUGGGUUUGCCAAGGCUACCUCAAAUUCAGAGAUCCCCAAGGAGAAUUUAUGGGUUUUGGCAGGUAGUUGUAAGAUUUAUUUCAAAUGUGUAGCAAGGACACAUGUCCAGAUAGUAAGGAAAGAAGACGCUGACAGAGCCCUUAGGAAUCCAAGGACAGCUGUUUAACAUUUUCUCCCUCCCUGACUGAUCACAGGGGACUUCCUCUUCUAGCAAUGGAAAUGCAGCAACAUAUAUGCUAUGUGUACUUACACCUUGGAAAGCUCCUGAGAGGGACAGUGCCUACAGUCCCUCUGGGACUGCCCACAUACCCAGCCUCUGGGUAUAUUAUAACCUUAAUUCCAGACUCCCAGUGGAUAGCAAGAUUAGGCGUAUAACGUUGUGUAACACAUGUAGGCGUAAAGUUCCCUAAAUGUUUACUGGGGACACAGAGCAAAGUUCCAGAAGUCGGUCAACAACUGGCCUUUGUAGGUCUCGGGUCUGCUGUAAUAUGCUUUUACACCGUGACUGUCCCCAUGUGCAGAGCCUCAGUUCUGAGUAGUCUGUUUGCUGCGGAGCCUGGGUUCUUCUCUACCCAUUUUGUUCUGUCUUCCCGUUCCUCAUCAGCCAUUGCAUUUGUUAUUUCUGUCUGGGAUGUUAUUCUGUCUCCUCGAAUGACCAGUUCCUUCUCAGUGUUCAGGAUCCAGUUGAAAUUUGCAAUCUGCCUUGUCAAGGAGAUCUUCCUGCCUAUGCUCUGUGAUGUACGCGGCUUCCCCUGAAGGAACACAAUAGGUAUUUCUCUGCCUUGGUUUCUUUAAGGUGAAAUCAGCCUACAUCUUUGUCUCUAUCAGCCCCUCCCCCAUGCCAAUAAUUGGCAACCAAAGGAAAAAGCCCUGAGCAGUGUUUGUUAAUCUCUGAUGAAACUGCACCAUUCCCGCUGAAGGAGGGUUUGAUAGCCAUGUGAGUCGUCAGCUUUCCUGAGACACAGGGGCUACUGCCAAGUGCGCUGUUUGUUUGUGUGUUUGUGUGUUUGUUCUUUUUAUUUAUUCUUCUCUCAUACAAUACAUCCUGACCACAACCUCCCUCUCCACUCCUCCCAGGCCUCCCACCAUCUACCCCCUCUCCCUGAUCCACUGCCCCUCAGAUUCCUUUUAGAAAAGAACAGGUUUCCCAGGGAUAGUCACUGAGCAUGGCAUAGCGAGAUGCCAUAAGACUGGCGUAUACCCUCAUUCCAAGGCUGAACAAGGACCCAGUGGGAGGAAAAGUUUCCCACGAGCAGGGGGAGGUUUGGGUGUUUGAGGUAGAGUCUCACUAUGCAGCCCUGGCUGGCCUGGAACUCACAGAGAUCUGCCUGCCUCUGGCUCCUGGGUGCUGGAAUUAAAGGCUUGCUUGGCUCCACCUGGCCAGACUAAGUCCCAUAAAGGAAGCACUGGUUUUUAGGAGUGAAUUCUCAAGCACACUCCGUGGCACAGAGCAAGUGUUUUAUGAGCAUUGGCUGGGGAGAGGAUCAUCAUCCCACACCAUCUCCAGCUACUGCUUCAGACAUUCAUACGUUACAGACGAGAACGGUGGGCACAGAGAUAAGGGCUGUUCCUCGAGGCACGGACAGAACAACAGGGUCACUGUUCAUGUGGGACAGGAACUAAACUAGAAAAUAAUUCGUGGCCGAGCAUGGCGGGGCACGCUUUUAAUCCCAGCAUUCAGGAUUAAAAAUUACUCUUCAAAGAAUGAUUGACAAUUGACCAAGAAAACUAAAUAAGUACUGUAUCGAGUAGACUCCAUUGAAAACAGUGUGAAGUAAAGCAGUGUGAACUGGAUGCAGUGUGAACUGAAUGCUGGGCUCUGGCCAGUGUCCUAUCUCAGAUCAAAAGGAGCAAGUUUGGUCAUAGACAGAGCUGCUCGCAGCCUUGGUUGGAGAAGUUUCUUUUUGUAGUAGGCACAGUUGACUCAUAACUGAACAAAGUACCGAGAUUAAGUCAGCAUUGAGUCUCAACUUGAAAUGUCAGCAUCUACCUCUCCCCGAAGGCUCAGGGAACAUCCAUAGAAUGGGGAACAGAAUGAAUGGGAGAGCCAGAGGGUGGGGAGGGCUGUGAGAUUCUGUCUUCUGGAUGAUAUGGCAAUUGCAUCCAGGAACUCCCAGAAGUUGUGGGUGCUUGCGUAAGAUCAAGCUGUCAGUGUGUCCACAUGGGUGGCAGGGUGCUUGCUCAUGAGACUACAUCCUAGCUGAGGUGCUGUUGGCACUUGAUAGCUUCACCUGAGAGGAAUCACCGAGAGAACUCAGUGUUCAGCAAAAUGGGUCACCCAGAUGAUCAGCAAGUGGCGGUACUGCUGCCAAGCUCGAAGGACCGAGUUCAGGCCCCAUCAGGAGACAACUAAUUUCUGAGAGUUGCUCUCGGACCUCCGAACAUACACUGUUGUGGCACAUGUUGCUCUCAUCCCAGAGUGAAUAAAUAAAAGUAAUAAAAUAAAAUAAAAGAGAAGUAGGGGACUAUUACCAGGACACGUUGUAUGCAUGCAUGAGACUGUGAAUAAUAGAUAAAAUAUUAGUUUUAAAAGGAAACAGAAUAGGGUUGGAAUGUAUUUAAGGAAGAUGAGUAUUUGGGUUGGACCUCUGAGGACUCACAAGGCCAGGCUGUAAAAGGGAAGAUGUUGCUGUCAAGAGAACCAUUUGGAAGGCCUUAAAGAGCCGCUAAGGUGCAGAGGGACAGCCUGUCCUGUCUGUUUACUGCAGGGCACCUUGUGACUGAAGCCUGGGUGUCAGUGGACAUCUGGAUAUCCCAUCUGGGAAACUGACCUUCGGUUUAGUACCACAGCAAGCCCUCAGGGAGCACUGGGUCCUUAGCAGUUAUUUACAACCUCAGAGGAAGAGCCCUUACUGCCAUGGUCUUCAGAGUGCUUGAAGUAAUCAGAACAUAUAAGCCCCCUCGUCCUCCACACCCACUCAAGAGCUUUGUGAAAUCCUUUUCUGGGAUCAUGGCGUUAGGCAAUAUUUCCUGCAGUGAAACACCUUUGUGGGGAACUUGACGGCCAGAGAAACUUGUUCCUCCACGCAGAGGCAAGAUUUGUAUCUAUUGCCUGUAUUUAAUGACACCUCUUGGUGAAACGCUGUCUUCCUGGGAAUUGCCGUGCUCUGGCAGAACAGCUGAAAAGAUGACUCGGUGACAAAGCUGAAGUGUCCGGGGCUCACUGGGUAAAUGGAGCUCACCUGACCGUCAGAGGGGGCAACUGCAACUUUGUGAGCCAAGAUGGGCAAGCACGGGAGCAUCAAUGUCUUUUCUCCAGGGACGAGGCAAGGUAGAACUGUCAGUGACAGAGGGAAAGAGGGGAAGGAAAGGAGACAGGCUUUGCUUCUGCAGAGAGAAAAGACCCAGGAAGUGUGUGCUAUGCAGGAUGAGAUGAACAGAGCUGCCUGGGAUGCUUUCAGAGCACAUUGGACAGCAGAUCCCAGAGUAACAUGGAGAAGUUGGUGGUGUGGGACCACUGGGCAUCCCUCCGCCUGGACAGUGGCUACUUUGGAGCUCCAGUUGCUUCCCAGGGAAAGUGCGACCCAUGCUUCAUGGCCAUGUCUGCUCAGCCCCAUGACAGGCAGGUGGACUGUGUCUGGGUACCUGCUGGAGCCAGACUGCCCAAUAAGGACCUUGACCUCUUAAGUAUUGGACUGCUGACAGUUGCCCCAUCAGAAAGCUGCAGACCCAGAGGCUGCACGUCAUGGUUUACUGCUGGCUGAAGCAGUUUCUAGAAUAAAGAGCUCUGCUUGGUGUCAAAUAACAGCCGUGGCAGCUGAUAGUUGAGAGGCCACCAUGUCCAGGGGGAGACUCAGGUAGACCUGAGAGGAUCGGAGACUUCUUCCUAAGCUGAUUGAUUCCCUUUGCAGAU
rnacentral:lncRNA from 1 species